rnacentral:ribozyme from 14 species
CAACGAAAGCGUGACAGACCACAGAAAAUGGCAGGCGAAAAAGGGAUGAUCCAAGAGAGAAGUAGGAACCAGUUAUGCUUCUUAUCCUUCUUUUGCUUCUAGUCCUUCUUCUUUUCCUUGUCCUCC